rnacentral:rRNA from 1 species
GGUGAUUCAUGAUAACUUAACGAAUCGCAUGGCCUUGCGCCGGCGAUGGUUCAUUCAAAUUUCUGCCCUAUCAACUUUCGAUGGUAGGAUAGUGGCCUACCAUGGUAUCAACGGGUAACGGGGAAUUAGGGUUCUAUUCCGGAGAGGGAGCCUGAGAAACGGCUACCACAUCCAAGGAAGGCAGCAGGCGCGCAAAUUACCCAAUCCCGACACGGGGAGGUAGUGACAAUAAAUACUGAUACAGGGCUCUUUUGGGUCUUGUAAUUGGAAUGAGUACAAUUUAAAUACCUUAACGAGGAACAAUUGGAGGGCAAGUCUGGUGCCAGCAGCCGCGGUAAUUCCAGCUCCAAUAGCGUAUAUUAAAGUUGUUGCAGUUAAAAAGCUCGUAGUUGAACCUUGGGCCUGGCUGGCCGGUCCGCCUCACCGCGUGUACUGGUCCGGCCGGGCCUUUCCUUCUGGGGAACCGCAUGCCCUUCACUGGGUGUGCUGGGGAACCAGGACUUUUACUUUGAAAAAAUUAGAGUGUUCAAAGCAGGCCUUUGCUCGAAUACAUUAGCAUGGAAUAAUAGAAUAGGACGUGCGGUCCUAUUUUGUUGGUUUCUAGGACCGCCGUAAUGAUUAAUAGGGAUAGUCGGGGGCGUCAGUAUUCAAUUGUCAGAGGUGAAAUUCUUGGAUUUAUUGAAGACUAACUACUGCGAAAGCAUUCGCCAAGGAUGUUUUCAUUAAUCAGUGAACGAAAGUUAGGGGAUCGAAGACGAUCAGAUACCGUCGUAGUCUUAACCGUAAACUAUGCCGACUAGGGAUCGGACGAUGUUAUUAUUUUGACUCGUUCGGCACCUUACGAGAAAUCAAAGUC